rnacentral:rRNA from 1 species
UUACGGGAGGCAGCAGUAAGGAAUAUUGGUCAAUGGACGCAAGUCUGAACCAGCCAUGCCGCGUGCAGGAUGACAGCCCUACGGGUUGUAAACUGCUUUUGUACGGGAAAAAACCUCCGGUCGUGAAUCGGAGCUGAUGGUACCGUAAGAAUAAGCAUCGGCUAACUCCGUGCCAGCAGCCGCGGUAAUACGGAGGAUGCAAGCGUUAUCCGGAUUCAUUGGGUUUAAAGGGUGCGCAGGCGGAAUGAUAAGUCAGCGGUGAAAUCCUACAGCUCAACUGUAGAACUGCCGUUGAUACUGUUGUUCUUGAGUACACUUGAAGUGGGCGGAAUGUGUCAUGUAGCGGUGAAAUGCUUAGAUAUGACACAGAACACCGAUCGCGAAGGCAGCUCACUAAAGUGAAACUGACGCUCAUGCACGAAAGCGUGGGGAUCAAACAGGAUUAGAUACCCUGGUAGC